GGUUCGGUUCGAUAAUUCGGUUUUAUCCAUUUUUUUUCUCACUCUUAUAUAUAAAAAUAGAUAUCACUUCUUAAUCUGCAUAUCGACACUGAUCAACUAAUUAAAAUUAAUUUCAUCCUAAUUACUCCAUAAUUUAAUAGAGUGAGUGUCUAUAUGAAUAUAAACAUGACCCCCUCGUGUUUCCUACAAAAAAAUGUGCUAUAGUUGUAGAUCUAGCAUCCCUGGGUAUUCUCUCACAUAGGUGGCAAAAUCCCACCUGAUUUGGACACCGUACUAUAAUGUCCAUGCAACCGACCGCUAGGGGUGGUCGGCUAUUUGGUCGGAUUCUCUCUCUUUUUUAUACAAGAGAAUUAUUAACAACUUAUUAA
rnacentral:lncRNA from 1 species